UAGAACGCUGAAGGAGGAGCUUGCUUCUCUGGAUGAGUUGCGAACGGGUGAGUAACGCGUAGGUAACCUGCCUGGUAGCGGGGGAUAACUAUUGGAAACGAUAGCUAAUACCGCAUAAGAGUAGAUGUUGCAUGACAUUUGCUUAAAAGGUGCAAUUGCAUCACUACCAGAUGGACCUGCGUUGUAUUAGCUAGUUGGUGAGGUAACGGCUCACCAAGGCAACGAUACAUAGCCGACCUGAGAGGGUGAUCGGCCACACUGGGACUGAGACACGGCCCAGACUCCUACGGGAGGCAGCAGUAGGGAAUCUUCGGCAAUGGACGGAAGUCUGACCGAGCAACGCCGCGUGAGUGAAGAAGGUUUUCGGAUCGUAAAGCUCUGUUGUAAGAGAAGAACGAGUGUGAGAGUGGAAAGUUCACACUGUGACGGUAUCUUACCAGAAAGGGACGGCUAACUACGUGCCAGCAGCCGCGGUAAUACGUAGGUCCCGAGCGUUGUCCGGAUUUAUUGGGCGUAAAGCGAGCGCAGGCGGUUAGAUAAGUCUGAAGUUAAAGGCUGUGGCUUAACCAUAGUACGCUUUGGAAACUGUUUAACUUGAGUGCAAGAGGGGAGAGUGGAAUUCCAUGUGUAGCGGUGAAAUGCGUAGAUAUAUGGAGGAACA
rnacentral:rRNA from 1 species